rnacentral:rRNA from 1 species
UACAGAGGGGGCGAGCGUUAUUCGGAAUUAUUGGGCGUAAAGGGCGCGUAGGCGGCUUAACAAGUCACUUGUGAAAUCUCCGGGCUUAACUCGGAACGGCCAAGUGAAACUGUCAAGCUAGAGUGCAGAAGGGGCAAUCGGAAUUCUUGGUGUAGCGGUGAAAUGCGUAGAUAUCAAGAGGAACACCUGAGGUGAAGACGGGUUGCUGGGCUGACACUGACGCUGAGGCGCGAAAGCCAGGGGAGCAAACGGG